ensembl:misc_RNA Y_RNA Y RNA
GGCUGGUCUGAAGGUAGUGAGUUAUUUCAAUUGAUUGUUCACAGUCAGUCACAGACCAAACUCCUUGGUCUACUCUUUCCCCCUUCUAACUGCUGCACUUGAUGAAUAGUCUUAA